rnacentral:rRNA from 1 species
UACGGGGGGGGCAAGCGUUGUUCGGAAUUACUGGGCGUAAAGGGCUCGUAGGUGGCCAACUAAGUCAGACGUGAAAUCCCUCGGCUUAACCGGGGAACUGCGUCUGAUACUGGAUGGCUUGAGUUCGGGAGAGGGAUGCGGAAUUCCAGGUGUAGCGGUGAAAUGCGUAGAUAUCUGGAGGAACACCGGUGGCGAAGGCGGCAUCCUGGACCGACACUGACGCUGAGGAGCGAAAGCCAGGGGAGUAAACGGG